UACGGAGGGAGCUAGCGUUGUUCGGAAUUACUGGGCGUAAAGCGCGCGUAGGCGGCUUUGUAAGUUAGAGGUGAAAGCCCGGGGCUCAACCCCCGGAAUUGCCUUUAAGACUGCAUCGCUUGGAUCCGGGAGAGGUGAGUGGAAUUCCGAGUGUAGAGGUGAAAUUCGUAGAUAUUCGGAAGAACACCAGUGGCGAAGGCGGCUCACUGGACCGGCAUUGACGCUGAGGUGCGAAAGCGUGGGGAGCAAACAGG
rnacentral:rRNA from 1 species